UAAUAACCAAUCCUAGGAGUGAGAAUAAAAUUAGAGUGGAGGAAGUAGUAGAUGAGGGAGUAGUUAAAAAGGAGAAAAAUAAAAAAAUAGAUGGAGAAAACAGUGACGAAAAAGAGGAAGACACUAGGAGAUAAUGCACACUUGGUGAACUAAUUGAUAAAAAUUACCUUUAAGAAGAACCAAAGAGAAAAUACUCAACGAACCAAAUCCCGAACUCCUUAAUUAUAUGAAACCACCUUAUCCUAUAUUGAAGAA
rnacentral:lncRNA from 1 species